rnacentral:misc_RNA from 1 species
UUUGGCAAUUUAUUGAUUGUGUAACAUGACUUUUUCACAUUGUAUAUUUACUUGUUUAUUAUUUUAAAAUUAAUUAGCACCUCACUUUUCUCGGGCGAGUGCCUUGCACAAUGGAGGACCUUCUUGCCUUAAGGGCGCCUGGAGCUUUUGACAACACUACUAGGGAUUGUGAAAAAGUGCUACUAAUACGAUUUAGGUAAUCCUUCCCUAACUCCACUCUACCCCAAAAGGCACUUAGUGAGGGAAGGAUUACCUAAA